UACGUAGGGUGCGAGCGUUUAAUCGGAAUUACUGGGCGUAAAGCGUGCGUAGGCGGUCCGCGAAGUCUGAUGUGAAAGCCCCGGGCUCAACCUGGGAACUGCAUUGGAAACUAACGGGCUCGAGUGUGGCAGAGGGGGGUGGAAUUCCACGUGUAGCAGUGAAAUGCGUAGAGAUGUGGAGGAACACCGAUGGCGAAGGCAGCCCCCUGGGCUAACACUGACGCCUCAGGCACGAAAGCGUGGGGAGCAAACAGG
rnacentral:rRNA from 1 species